rnacentral:rRNA from 1 species
AGCGAACGCUGGCGGCAGGCCUAACACAUGCAAGUCGAACGGAUCCUUCGGGAUUAGUGGCGGACGGGUGAGUAACACGUGGGAACGUGCCCUUUGGUUCGGAACAACUCAGGGAAACUUGAGCUAAUACCGGAUGGGCCCUUCGGGGGAAAGAUUUAUCGCCAUUGGAGCGGCCCGCGUCUGAUUAGCUAGUUGGUGAGGUAAAGGCUCACCAAGGCGACGAUCAGUAGCUGGUCUGAGAGGAUGAUCAGCCACAUUGGGACUUAGAAACGGCCCAAACUCGUACGGGAGGCAGCAGUGGGCGAUAUUGCGCAAUGGGCGUAAGCCUGACGCAGCCAUGCCGCGUGAAUGAUGAAGGUCUUACAAUCGUAAAAUUCUUUCGCCGGGGACGAUAAUGACGGUACCCGGAGAAGAAGCCCCGGCUAACUUCGUGCCAGCCGCCGCAGUAAAAC